rnacentral:rRNA from 1 species
UGCCAGCACCCGCGGUAAUACGUAGGUGGCAAGCGUUGUCCGGAUUUAUUGGGCGUAAAGCGAGCGCAGGCGGAAUGAUAAGUCUGAUGUGAAAGCCUACGGCUCAACCGUGGAACUGCAUCGGAAACUGUCAUUCUUGAGUGCAGAAGAGGAGAGUGGAAUUCCAUGUGUAGCGGUGGAAUGCGUAGAUAUAUGGAAGAACACCAGAGGCGAAGGCGGCUCUCUGGUCUGCAACUGACGCUGAGGCUCGAAAGCAUGGGUAGCGAACAGGAUUAGAUACCCUGGUAGUCC